GAUGAAGAACGUAGCGAAAUGCGAUAAGUAGUGUGAAUUGCAGAAUUCAGUGAAUCAUCGAAUCUUUGAACGCACAUUGCGCCCUUUGGUAUUCCUUAGGGCAUGCCUGUUCGAGCGUCAUUUAAACCUUCAAGCUCAGCUUGGUGUUGGGUGACUGUCCGCCGCCUCCGGGCGGUCGGACUCGCCUCAAAUUGAUUGGCGGCCGGUACUUUGGCUUCGAGCGCAGCAGAAACGCGAACUCGAGGCCGUCGUCCUGGCUCCCAGAAGCUAUCUUCACAAUUUUGACCUCGGAUCAGGUAGGGAUACCCGCUGAACUUAAGCAUAUCAAUAAGCGGAGGAA
rnacentral:misc_RNA from 1 species